rnacentral:rRNA from 1 species
GCAAGUCGAAUGCUAGCUUGCUAGCAUGGCAAACGGGAGAGUAACACAUUGGUAAUUUACCCUAGGGACGAGGAUAACCUUGCGAAAGCGAGAAUAAUACUCGAUGGUAGUGAGAAGGCAUAUGUCAUUCCUACUUAAAUGUUCCGGCGCCCUGGGAGAAGCCUAUGGCUUAUCAGCUUGUUGGUGGGGUAAUGGCCUACCAAGGCAACGACGAGUAGCGGGUGUGAGAGCAUGACC